GCAGUGGUGGUUCAGUGGUAGAAUUCUUGCCUUCCAUGCAAGAAACCCUGGUUUGAUUCCUGUCCAGGGCA
rnacentral:tRNA from 1 species